AACGAACGCUGGCGGCAGGCCUAACACAUGCAAGUCGAGCGCGCCUUCGGGUGAGCGGCGGACGGGUGAGUAACGCGUGGGAAUAUGCCCUUCUCUACGGAAUAGCCUUGGGAAACUGGGGGUAAUACCGUAUACGCCCUUUGGGGGAAAGAUUUAUCGGGGAAGGAUUAGCCCGCGUUGGAUUAGGUAGUUGGUGGGGUAAUGGCCUACCAAGCCGACGAUCCAUAGCUGGUUUGAGAGGAUGAUCAGCCACACUGGGACUGAGACACGGCCCAGACUCCUACGGGAGGCAGCAGUGGGGAAUCUUAGACAACGGGGGCGACCCUGAUCUAGCCAUGCCGCGUGAGUGAUGAAGGCCUUAGGGUUGUAAAGCUCUUUCAGCUGGGAAGAUAAUGACGGUACCAGCAGAAGAAGCCCCGGCUAACUCCGUG
rnacentral:rRNA from 1 species